UUGGCAUCUCAUUAAUGAAGAAGGGCUGGUGUCUCUCAUUACAGUUAGAGUGAGUGAGAGGACCUCAGAACUAAUUUACUUGCUCUCACUAGGGAAGACACUUGCCUCCAUCAAGAACUUCACUUUCCUGCUGCCUGUGGCAAUAAAAGAACCCGUUUUGUUUUAACAUUAAUAAGGAAAUUCCACUCAUUGAUAAAGCUCGGCUUCGACACCCCUGCUCACAACGAAAUACCUUCCUUGCCAACCACAUUGCUUUAUGAUCGUGCCCCUUUACCACAUUGUACUUGAAACGCCUUGUCAUUUAAGAAACCAUAAAAACGACGUCUUUAAAAAUGGGUUCAUCAUUUAGCUGGAGAUGGCUUCUGUGCCUGGAACCAGAAGCCUGUCCUCUCGGUGGUAUGCCUCCACAAAAGGAAGCGAGCUACCACAAAGGACAGCAUCAUGUGUUGCCUUCAUUGCUAUUGAAUCGG
rnacentral:antisense_RNA from 1 species